GGUCUGAUGGUGUAGCGGUUACUAUGUGUUAUUCCACUCAUGGGAACCUGAGGUCCGGGGUUCGAUUCCCUGGGGGACCA